rnacentral:rRNA from 1 species
GACGUAGGAGGCGAGCGUUGCCCGGAUUCAUUGGGCGUAAAGAGCACGCAGGCGGUUUGGCAAGUCGGACGUGAAAAUCCGGGGCUCAACCCCGGACCUGCAUCCGAAACUGCCCGACUAGAGGUAGGUAGGGGAGAUCGGAAUUCCUGGUGUAGCGGUGAAAUGCGCAGAUAUCAGGAGGAACACCGGUGGCGAAGGCGGAUCUCUGGGCCUUACCUGACGCUCAGGUGCGAAAGCUAGGGGAGCGAACAGG